UACCAAGGCUUGACAUGCAUCUCUAAGCGCGUGAAAGCGCGUGACCCUUCGGGGAAUUUGCACAGGUGCUGCAUGGCCGUCGUCAGCUCGUGUCGUGAGAUGUUGGGUUAAGUCCCGCAACGAGCGCAACCCUUGUGACUAGUUGCCAGCGGGUAAUGCCGGGAACUCUAGUCAGACUGCCCAGAUCAACUGGGAGGAAGGUGGGGACGACGUCAGGUCAGUAUGGCCCUUACGUCUUGGGCUGCACACGUACUACAAUGCCCAGCACAAUGAGAACCGAGACCGCGAGGUGGAGGAAAUCUGCAAAACUGGGCUCAGUUCGGAUUGGAGGCUGCAACUCGCCUCCAUGAAGUUGGAAUCGCUAGUAAUGCCGUAUCAUCUACGACGGCGUGAAUACGUUCCCGGGUCUUGUACACACGC
rnacentral:rRNA from 1 species